ensembl:lncRNA novel transcript
GCAAUCAAUUUCUUCCAGCUUUCUAAUAUCUCUCCCAUUAAGCCUUCUGAGGAGAGGAACUACACCUGUUUUAUCUUGGUAACUAGCACUUUGCACCAUGCCUGACACAGAGGAGGUGUUUUAAAACUGUCUUUCAAUGGAUUACCACAGAAAAAAGUUGCUCACCUCUAGAAGAUGCUAGAGCAGGUACAGUGGAAAGAGCAUGGACUUGGAGGGCAGACAAAGGCAUGGACUUCGUGUUGAACUGCAGGUUUGAGCCAAGGAAUGGUGAGGAAUAGAUUUCUCAACAAAGCAAGUGCUCACAUAAGCUGCUGAAGUCUUAAAUGGAGAGCAGAGAUAGCUGGAGUCCUGUGGGUACUUUAAGGGAGUUUCAGGUGUGAGCUCUACAUUAUGCUGAGAUGGCUAUGUACAAGUAUAUCCAGAAUGACGGUGGAUACGUUGAAAGUCCAAUCAACUGUGCUAAAUCUUGAAUCAGUUCUCUCUGUUGCCUUUUGCAGGUUGUUUAAGUUUUGUAUAGAAGUGGAUAUUUUGAACAUUGAAACUGCACAAGGGCUUUAUGGUUGCUCUGCUCACCUCUAUUUCUUCUUCUCCUGCUAGGAAACCCCAUUAUCCUCAGAACAAGUCUCUCCACCUCCUGCUCUUGCCUGAUGCUGUAUGGCUCUGAUGGCUUGUCCUGUGUCCCCUUAGCCCAGGUGCUAAGUGGUCUCUGUUCCCUUAAAAUAACUGUUUUGGGAUGUUAUGGGUCCUGUUUUAAAAAUCCCCUCAUCCCUCUUCUUUUCUCUCUUCUAAAGGGCAGCCUUACCAUCUCCUUUUAAGAACAGAAGUCUUUUCUUUCUGCCUCUUAAAGUCAGUAGCUGGUUUGUCACCCAAUAACAAAAGCCCACAAUAUCCUGACCUCAAAGACUAGGAAGGUAGGUGGUGCUAAGGUCAGGGAUUGGGAGUCUUAGAGAGCCAGCAACACAGUGUCAUCUCUCUGAAAAGUAAAUUUCCAGUAGCUAGCAAGAGAUUUACAAAUGCUGAAAUCUCUUAGUCUACUAAUUCCUUUCAUACAAUCAAAGAUAUGUGCAAAGAUUUAUGUUCAUCAUACUGUCACUCCUCAUAGAGAAAAGCAUGGGAGUAACACCCAUGUCUGUCAGUAGGGCUUGGAUGGAUAAAGUCUAUUAUUGAGUCCUUUGCAAUCAUUCAAAAUCAUGUUUGAAUAUAAUAGAUGGGAAAAUGAUCAUACUAUAAUGCUAAUUGAAAAAAGAUAUAAAACUGUAUAUAUGUUCUCAUCUCAAAUUUUUAAAAAAUAAAAAUGUGCUUAUUUUAUAUAUAUAAACAUAUAUAUAUAGUUUAUAUUUAAAAAUAAAAAUGUGCUUAACUCUG